rnacentral:rRNA from 1 species
GACGAACCGUGCGAACGUUGUUCGGAAUCACUGGGCUUAAAGGGCGCGUAGGCGGCUUACCAAGUCCGGGGUGAAAUCUUUCGGCUCAACCGGAAAAGUGCCUUGGAUACUGGUAAGCUGGAGGGAGGUAGGGGCAUGUGGAACUUCCGGUGGAGCGGUGAAAUGCGUUGAUAUCGGAAGGAACGCCGGUGGCGAAAGCGACGUGCUGGACCUCUUCUGACGCUGAGGCGCGAAAGCUAGGGGAG